GAGUUUGAUCGUGGCUCAGGACUCGAACGACUACGCGGCAGGCUUAACUAACGAUGCAAGGGUCGUGGGGGCAGCAUGGUGUAGCAAUACACUGAUGGCGACCGGCGCACGGGUGCGUAACACGUAUACAAUCUGCCUUUAACAGGGGGAUAGCCCGGAGAAAUCCGGAUUAAUACCCCAUAAUAUAUUGAGUGGCAUCACUUGAUAUUGAAAGCUCCGGCGGUUAGAGAUGAGUAUGCGCCUGAUUAGUUAGUUGGUGAGGUAACGGCUCACCAAGACUUCGAUCAGUAGGGGAUCUGAGAGGACUACCCCCCACACGGAUACUGAGACACGGAUCCGACUCCUACGGGAGGCAGCAGUAAGGAAUAUUGGACAAUGCCCGCAAGGGUGAUCCAGCCAUGCCGCGUGCAGGAAGACGGCCCUAUGGGUUGUAAACUGCUUUUUACACCGGAG
rnacentral:rRNA from 1 species